UCCAUGUGUCUCAACUUAAGAAGUGUCUUCGUGUCCCUGAGGAACAGUUACCAAUGGAAGAGCUCAGCGUUCAUGGUGAUUUGAUUUAUACGGAGUAUCAUGUCAAGAUUAUUGAUACUUUGACACGAGUUACAUGAAAUAAGGUGAUAAAGAUGUGCCAAGUGCAAUGGAGUCACCACGGGGAAGAUAAAGCUACGUGGGAGAGAGAAGAAGAGCUUCGCAUAGAUUUUCCCCAUCUUUUCCCUAGUCCUUCCUAAAUCUCGAGGACGAGAUUCUUUGUAAGGGGGGUAGGAUUUGUAAUAUCCACUUUUGUAAUCAGAGUAUAAAGAAAAUUAUAUUCCUGUAUACAUAUGUGUGUCAUCCAAGUUUAUCAUUUCAUGAGCACAUCACAUAUAACAAACAACUAAAUGACAAAAGGCACUUAAAUAAAAUAUACAUCAUGCUGGGAUUUAUUGUGUGUGUGCAUUUGGUGACAUAAAUAAAUCAACAUUCAAAUUGAGGAUUUAAUACCUACUUUGAAUAAAUAGAAUAGAAGGAGAGAAAUACUAUAAAAUACAAAAUAAAACUUAUAAAAAAAUCAUAUUGGCAAGUUCAAAUUUAAACCUAACCCAAGGAAAAAUUUUCCACAAAAAGAAUUUCUUUUAGAAUUAAAGUUUUUGAAUUUGGAAAGGAAUGAAAGAAUAACAAAUAAAAAAAAGAAAGCAGUCUUCGGCCGAGUGGGCCUCUAUUCCAUGCUUUCGGCCCAUCUUCGGAUCCAGCUCACGUAGCCCAACUCCAUUUUGCCACCAAACAUCUCCACCGCGCGACCUGCUUCUCUUUUGGGCAUGCGGACCUCGCAACUCAGUCUCCUGGCGCGCGCAUAGUACCAUUACCAUUUCACUGACAGGUAGGCCCAUCUGCUCAGCUUCGUCAACAAACUCGCGGAGGAAGCGCGGUCUGGUGCGAUCUCGCCGGAAUCCGUUGACUGGCUUCGGACCGAGCUCGGCCCUUGGUGGUAUAAAAAAAAAGAAGACGUUCUCGCCAGCCUAGCUCUAUCCUACACGCGCGCGCGCCGCAUCCAUUUCCCAUGCCGCUGACGAAUGGGUCUGCGCUGGCAGGCUUCGUCCCCAACUGAUUUUCGCCAUCCGCGCGCGGGUAUGGUCAAGAUCCGCUCGACCGGUCUUCUCCAUGCUCGCAUUGGGGUGAAGCUAAUCCCGCAUCCAUCGCGGGCUCAACUGGUCAGCGCAACAGACGACGCCGAUCCCGCGCUGGCCGUCGUGGCUUCCGCUGCGGACCAACUACCUGAACCGCGUAUCGCUGCAGCGAAGUCCGCCCCAGCAACAGCUCUUCUUCUCAGCCGGAAGAUUAGGCCAGGUUGUUGGGUCGCCCGGCAAUCGCGCUAACCACAGCUACACCUCGUCGCAGCUUCAAAAGCGGACAGGCCCCUGGUUCUUCCCCAAGUCGCGCGCACCUAGCAUCCCUUGGCCACACCAAAUCCGACCCUGAGCCAAACCAGUAAAGUGCUGUGUGUUUGUCACAGACAGCAGUGAGAGAAAGCGAGGAGACAUGGACUGGGGGAAGCCGCCUCCGUCAUUCAUCGUCCACAAUGCCGAUGGGGCCUGGGGUCAAUUGCUUGCUGGUGAUGAUGCUUCGUCGGGGGACCGCACCGAUCCGCAGAUGGGGUAUCGCCGCGCUAUGCACUGAUGGGCACGUCACCGGCGGAGCCAUGGCCACAUCACCUUGAAGCUUCUUCGGCCACUGCGAACUCGCCCUCUGUUCUCCUGGCCAUGGAAUUUGUGAUCGAUGACCUGUCCACCGUCGCGCGUGGGUGGUUCGCUGAACUCCAUAGGCGGGUCCAAACCCAACGCCGUCUCCAUCUGCGCCUCCCUCGCCAACGUGUUCGCCGACUUCGACCACUGGAUCCGCCCUCAAAAGCGAGGUUUCGAGUCACCUGAAGAUCACCCUGGUAACUGGAAUCUCAAGUGCCAG